CAGUUUGUGAGCUCUGAGGAAGACACUAUGUGGAAAUGUUAGCGGUUAUGAUGCUAUUUUAAUCACCUGCUAUGAAGUAACACUGAGUAAAGUGAAGUUGACAGCAACUCGACUGGCAUCCAGAGCCUACCAGCUUCCACAUGUGGCCCACCACUGCUGCCUAACUUGGAACUGAGGGGUGUCGCCGCCUCUGGCAGCUCACACCGUGCUGUAAAGUGGCGAAAGAGGCCAUUACAUAAAGAAGUCUUACGGAAAAGCAGCUUUCUUCUGCAGGUCUUCUCUGAAAUUUGCUACCUGGGAGGGCUCCACGAUUCUGGAACUUGCUCCCCCUCUUGUUCUGAAAUAGGCUGGAUUUGGUGACCUUCCUGACAUGCUGCAAAAGGAAUCUGAUGGCUAGAGUUUCUGGAGAGAGCUGAAGAUGUUUCCAGCAAUGAUGAAGGGUUGGAAA